CUCAAAAGUGCCUCAAUCUCUUUGCUUAAAGGUUACAUAGUUACAUAGCUGAAAAAAAGACUUGCAUCCAAGUUCAGCCUUCCUCACAUAUGUUUUUGCUGUUGAUCCAAAAGAAGGCAAAAAACCGAGCUGAAGCACUUCCAAUUUUGCAACAAACUAGGAAAAAAAUCCUUCUUGACCCCAAAAUGGCAGUCAGAUAUCUCCUUGGAUCAAGCAGCUAUUACCCCACUAAUUAGAAAUUAUAUCCCUG